rnacentral:rRNA from 1 species
AGAGUUUGAUCAUGGCUCAGAUUGAACGCUGGCGGAAUGCUUUACACAUGCAAGUCGAACGGCAGCACGGGGGCAACCCUGGUGGCGAGUGGCGAACGGGUGAGUAAUACAUCGGAACGUGCCCAGUCGUGGGGGAUAACGUAGCGAAAGCUACGCUAAUACCGCAUACGAACUCAGGUUGAAAGCGGGGGACCGCAAGGCCUCGCGCGAUUGGAGCGGCCGAUGGCAGAUUAGGUAGUUGGUGGGGUAAAGGCCUACCAAGCCGACGAUCUGUAGCUGGUCUGAGAGGACGACCAGCCACACUGGGACUGAGACACGGCCCAGACUCCUACGGGAGGCAGCAGUGGGGAAUUUUGGACAAUGGGCGCAAGCCUGAUCCAGCCAUUCCGCGUGCAGGAUGAAGGCCCUCGGGUUGUAAACUGCUUUUGUACGGAACGAAACGGUGCUGGUUAAUACCUGGCGCUAAUGACGGUACCGUAAGAAUAAGCACCGGCUAACUACGUGCCAGCAGCCGCGGUAAUACGUAGGGUGCGAGCGUUAAUCGGAAUUACUGGGCGUAAAGCGUGCGCAGGCGGUUUUGUAAGACAGGUGUGAAAUCCCCGGGCUUAACCUGGGAACUGCAUUUGUGACUGCAAGGCUGGAGUGCGGCAGAGGGGGAUGGAAUUCCGCGUGUAGCAGUGAAAUGCGUAGAUAUGCGGAG